CCCUUAGACGUUCUGGGCCGCACGCGCGCUACACUGACCAGUGCAACAAGCAUCCGUCCUUGGCCGACAGGCUCGGGCAAUCUUUGAACGCUGGUCGUGAUGGGGAUAGACUUUUGCAAUUUUUGGUCUUCAACGAGGAACUCCUAGUAAACGCAAGUCAUCAACUUGCAUUGAUUACGUCCCUGCCCUUUGUACACACCGCCCGUCGCACCUACCGAUUGAAUGGUCCGGUGAAGCCUCCGGAUUGGCGCGCACCUCGGUGCCGCCGAGAAGUUGGCUAAACCUUACCAUUUAGAGGAAGGUGAAGUCGUAACA
rnacentral:rRNA from 1 species